GAUGAACGCUGGCGGCGUGCCUAAUACAUGCAAGUCGAGCGAACAGACGAGGAGCUUGCUCCUCUGACGUUAGCGGCGGACGGGUGAGUAACACGUGGAUAACCUACCUAUAAGACUGGGAUAACUUCGGGAAACCGGAGCUAAUACCGGAUAAUAUAUUGAACCGCAUGGUUCAAUAGUGAAAGACGGUUUUGCUGUCACUUAUAGAUGGAUCCGCGCCGCAUUAGCUAGUUGGUAAGGUAACGGCUUACCAAGGCGACGAUGCGUAGCCGACCUGGAGGGGUGAUCGGCCACACUGGAACUGAGACACGGUCCAGACUCCUACGGGAGGCAGCAGUAGGGAAUCUUCCGCAAUGGGCGAAAGCCUGACGGAGCAACGCCGCGUGAGUGAUGAAGGUCUUCGGAUCGUAAAACUCUGUUAUUAGGGAAGAACAAAUGUGUAAGUAACUAUGCACGUCUUGACGGUACCUAAUCAGAAAGCCACGGCUAACUACGUG
rnacentral:rRNA from 1 species